rnacentral:rRNA from 1 species
UACGAAGGGGGCUAGCGUUGCUCGGAAUCACUGGGCGUAAAGCGCACGUAGGCGGAUCUUUUAAGUCAGGGGUGAAAUCCUGGAGCUCAACUCCAGAACUGCCUUUGAUACUGAAGAUCUUGAGUUCGGGAGAGGUGAGUGGAACUGCAAGUGUAGAGGUGAAAUUCGUAGAUAUUCGCAAGAACACCAGUGGCGAAGGCGGCUCACUGGCCCGAUACUGACGCUGAGGCACGAAAGCGUGGGGAGCAAACAGG